AGUGAACGCUGGCGGUAGGCCUAACACAUGCAAGUCGAACGGCAGCACAGGAGAGCUUGCUCUCUGGGUGGCGAGUGGCGGACGGGUGAGGAAUACAUCGGAAUCUACUCUGUCGUGGGGGAUAACGUAGGGAAACUUACGCUAAUACCGCAUACGACCUACGGGUGAAAGCAGGGGAUCUUCGGACCUUGCGCGAUUGAAUGAGCCGAUGUCGGAUUAGCUAGUUGGCGGGGUAAAGGCCCACCCAGGCGACGAUCCGUAGCUGGUCUGAGAGGCUGAUCAGCCACAAUGGAACUGAGACACGGUCGAGACUCGUACGGGAGGCAGCAGUGGGGAAUAUUGGACAAUGGGCGCAAGCCUGAUUCAGCUAUACCGCGUGGGUGAAGAAGGCCUUCGGGUUGUAAAGCCCUUUUGUUGGGAAAGAAAUCCAGCUGGCUGAUACCCGGUUGGGAUGACGGUACCCAAAGAAUAAGCACCGGCUAACUUCGUGCCAGCCGCCGCCGUAA
rnacentral:rRNA from 1 species